CAACUACUCCCUCUGUCCCAAAUUUCUUGUCUUAGAUUUGUCUAGAUACGGAUGUAUCUAAUACUAAAAUGUGACUUGAUACAUCUGUACCUAGACAAAUCUAAGACAAGAAUUUUGGGACGGAGGGAGUACUUU
rfam:Triticum aestivum genome assembly, contig: Triticum_aestivum_CS42_TGACv1_scaffold_133478_2BL